GCGAGAAGUCCAUUGAACCUUAUCAUUUAGAGGAAGGAGAAGUGUAACAAGGUUUCCGUAAGUGAACCUGCGGAAAGAUCAUUG
rnacentral:rRNA from 1 species